GGUUAAGCGACUAAGCGUACACGGUGGAUGCCCUCGGCAGUCAGAGGCGAUGAAGGACGUGCUAAUCUGCGAAAAGCGUCGGUAAGGUGAUAUGAACCGUUAUAACCGGCGAUGUCCGAAUGGGGAAACCCAGUGCAAUUCGUUGCACUAUCGUUAACUGAAUACAUAGGUUAACGAGGCGAACCGGGGAACUGAAACAUCUAAGUACCCCGAGGAAAAGAAAUCAACCGAGAUUCCCCCAGUAGCGGCGAGCGAACGGGGAGCAGCCCAGAGUCUGAAUCAGCUUGUGUGUUAGUGGAACGGUCUGGAAAGUCCGACGGUACAGGGUGAUAGUCCCGUACACCAAAAUGCACAGGCUGUGAACUCGAAGAGUAGGGCGGGACACGUGGUAUCCUGUCUGAAUAUGGGGGACCAUCCUCCAAGGCUAAAUACUCCUGACUGACCGAUAGUGAACCAGUACCGUGAGGGAAAGGCGAAAAGAACCCCGGCGAGGGGAGUGAAAAAGAACCUGAAACCGUGUACGUACAAGCAGUGGGAGCACCUUCGGGUGUGACUGCGUACCUUUGUAUAAUGGGUCAGCGACUUAUAUUCUGUAGCAAGGUUAACCGUAUAGGGGAGCCGCAGGAAACCGAGUCUUAACUGGGCGUUAAGUUGCAGGGUAUAGACCCGAAACCCGGUGAUCUAGCCAUGGGCAGGUUGAAGGUUGGGUAACACUAACUGGAGGACCGAACCGACUAAUGUUGAAAAAUUAGCGGAUGACUUGUGGCUGGGGGUGAAAGGCCAAUCAAACCGGGAGAUAGCUGGUUCUCCCCGAAAGCUAUUUAGGUAGCGCCUCGUGAACUCAUCUUCGGGGUAGAGCACUGUUUCGGCUAGGGGUCAUCCCGACUUACCAACCCGAUGCAAACUACGAAUACCGAAGAAUGUUAUCACGGGAGACACACGGCGGGUGCUAACGUCCGUCGUGAAGAGGGAAACAACCCAGACCGCCAGCUAAGGUCCCAAAGUCAUGGUUAAGUGGGAAACGAUGUGGGAAGGCACAGACAGCCGGGAUGUUGGCUUAGAAGCAGCCAUCAUUUAAAGAAAGCGUAAUAGCUCACUGGUCGAGUCGGCCUGCGCGGAAGAUGUAACGGGGCUAAACCAUGCACCGAAGCUGCGGCAGCGACACUAUGUGUUGUUGGGUAGGGGAGCGUUCUGUAAGCCUGCGAAGGUGUGCUGUGAGGCAUGCUGGAGGUAUCAGAAGUGCGAAUGCUGACAUAAGUAACGAUAAAGCGGGUGAAAAGCCCGCUCGCCGGAAGACCAAGGGUUCCUGUCCAACGUUAAUCGGGGCAGGGUGAGUCGACCCCUAAGGCGAGGCCGAAAGGCGUAGUCGAUGGGAAACAGGUUAAUAUUCCUGUACUUGGUGUUACUGCGAAGGGGGGGACGGAGAAGGCUAUGUUAGCCGGGCGACGGUUGUCCCGGUUUAAGCAUGUAGGCUGAUUGUCCGAGGCAAAUCCGGAUAAUCAAGGCUGAGGUGUGAUGACGAGGCACUACGGUGCUGAAGUAACAAAUGCCCUGCUUCCGAGGAAAAGCCUCUAAGCAUCAGGUAACAUUAAAUCGUACCCCAAACCGACACAGGUGGUCAGGUAGAGAAUACCAAGGCGCUUGAGAGAACUCGGGUGAAGGAACUAGGCAAAAUGGUGCCGUAACUUCGGGAGAAGGCACGCUGGUGUGUAGGUGAAGUCCCUGCGGAUGGAGCUGAGACCAGUCGAAGAUACCAGCUGGCUGCAACUGUUUAUUAAAAACACAGCACUGUGCAAACACGAAAGUGGACGUAUACGGUGUGACGCCUGCCCGGUGCCGGAAGGUUAAUUGAUGGGGUUAUCCGUAAGGAGAAGCUCUUGAUCGAAGCCCCGGUAAACGGCGGCCGUAACUAUAACGGUCCUAAGGUAGCGAAAUUCCUUGUCGGGUAAGUUCCGACCUGCACGAAUGGCGUAAUGAUGGCCGGGGCUGUCUCCACCCGAGACUCAGUGAAAUUGAACUCGCUGUGAAGAUGCAGUGUACCCGCGGCAAGACGGAAAGACCCCGUGAACCUUUACUAUAGCUUGACACUGAACAUUGAGCCUUGAUGUGUAGGAUAGGUGGGAGGCUUUGAAGCGUGGACGCCAGUCUGCGUGGAGCCAACCUUGAAAUACCACCCUUUAAUGUUUGAUGUUCUAACGUUGGCCCCUGACCGGGGUUGCGGACAGUGUCUGGUGGGUAGUUUGACUGGGGCGGUCUCCUCCCAAAGCGUAACGGAGGAGCACGAAGGUUAGCUAAUCCCCGGUCGGACAUCAGGAGGUUAGUGCAAUGGCAUAAGCUAGCUUGACUGCGAGCGUGACGGCGCGAGCAGGUGCGAAAAAGCAGGUCAUAGUGAUCCGGUGGUUCUGAAUGGAAGGGCCAUCGCUCAACGGAUAAAAGGUACUCCGGGGAUAACAGGCUGAUACCGCCCAAGAGUUCAUAUCGACGGCGGUGUUUGGCACCUCGAUGUCGGCUCAUCACAUCCUCGGGGCUGAAGUAGGUCCCAAGGGUAUGGCUGUUCGCCAUUUAAAGUGGUACGCGAGCUGGGUUUAGAACGUCGUGAGACAGUUCGGUCCCUAUCUGCCGUGGGCGCUGGAGAAUUGAGGGGGCUGCUCCUAGUACGAGAGGACCGGAGUGGACGCAUCACUGGUGUUCGGGUUGUCAUGCCAAUGGCACUGCCCGGUAGCUAAAUGCGGAAGAGAUAAGUGCUGAAAGCAUCUAAGCACGAAACUUGCCCCGAGAUGAGUUCUCCCUGAGACUUUAAGUCUCCUGAAGGAACGUUAAAGACGAUGACGUUGAUAGGCCGGGUGUGUAAGCGCAGCGAUGCGUUGAGCUAACCGGUACUAAUGAACCGUGAGGCUUAACCUU
rnacentral:rRNA from 1 species